rnacentral:rRNA from 1 species
UACAGAGGUCUCGAGCGUUAGGCGGAAUCACUGGGCUUAAAGCGCGUGUAGGUGGAUGCCUAAGUACCUUGUGAAAUCCCACAGCUUAACUGUGGAACUGCUUGGUAUACUGGGUGUCUUGAGUCACUCAGGGGCGAGCGGAACAAAUGGUGGAGCGGUGAAAUGCGUAGAUAUCAUGUGGAACGCCGAUGGUGAAAACAGCUCGCUGGGGGUGUACUGACACUGAGACACGAAAGCCAGGGGAGCGAACGGG